AUUGAACGCUGGCGGCAGGCCUAACACAUGCAAGUCGAACGAGUGGCGGACGGGUGAGUAAAGUCUGGGAAACUGUCUCAUGGAGGGGGGUAACUACUGGAAACGGUAUCUAAUACCCCCUAUCAUCAGCUGUGCCCAGAUGGGAUUGGCUGGUAGGUGGGGUAACGGCUCACCCAGGCGACGAUCCCUAGCUGGUCUGAGAGGAUGUCCAGCCACACGGGAACUGAGACACGGUCCAGACUCCUACGGGAGGCAGCAGUGGGGAAUAUUGCACAAUGGGCGCAAGCCUGAUGCAGCCAUGCCGCGUGUAUGAAGAAGGCCUUCGGGUUGUAAAGUACUUUCAGCGGGGAGGCGUUACCCGCAGAAGAAGCACCGGCUAACUCCGUGCCAGCCGCCGCGGUAAUAC
rnacentral:rRNA from 1 species